GUGGGGAAUCUUGCGCAAUGGGCGAAAGCCUGACGCAGCGACGCCGCGUGGGGGACGAAGGCCUUCGGGUUGUAAACCCCUGUCAGGCGGAACGAAUCCCCCGAGGACGAAUACUCCUCGGGGUUGACGGUACCGCCAGAGGAAGCCCCGGCUAACUACGUGCCAGCAGCCGCGGUAAUACGUAGGGGGCUAGCGUUGCUCGGAUUUACUGGGCGUAAAGAGCGCGUAGGCGGCCAGGUAAGUCUGAUGUGAAAGCCCUCGGCUCAACCGAGGAUCCGCAUUGGAAACUACCUGGCUUGAGGCCAGGAGGGGAGGGUGGAAUUCCCGGUGUAGCGGUGAAAUGCGUAGAGAUCGGGAGGAACACCUGUGGCGAAGGCGGCCCUCUGGAAUGGUACUGACGCUGAGGCGCGAAAGCUGGGGGAGCGAACGGG
rnacentral:rRNA from 1 species